UUGAAGUAUCUUGUCAAUGAAGAUCAAAGAAAUAUUUUGUAUAAAGUGGUUUUACAUAUUUUUUUAGAAAUGUGUUUCGUAUUAUGUAACAUGUUCAAGAUGGUGUUUCUAUGCAUUCCUUUGAUUGUCGCCGUUAUAAUUGGCGUAGCGAUAUACAAUGUAAUAAAAGAUAACCUUUAACAUAGCGAGGUUACUUAUGAACCCUCAAUGGGGGUACUUACUUUAUUAUGGAAGUAUAAAUCUUAGUAAAUAUGUAAUUUAAUAAAUUUGUAAAGAAAUAUACAAUAAUUUA